rnacentral:lncRNA from 1 species
CCAGGACUUCAGUUCUGGGGACUGGGGUAUUCAGACGCCUGGCAUCUCCCUGAUACUCUUCCUGUGAUCAGGGCCCACUUGCCCUUCUACAGCUUUUUGUUGUCUCCAGUGCUUCUGCUUCCUGUUGUUUCUGCCCUUGGCCACUCCGGGAACUUCAGCCACGUUCUUACCAUCACUGCUGCUGUGGAAGACACGGCACCAAUAGCUGUGUCCACCUUUGCCAUUGCUACCAUUCUGAUGAUGCUCCCGUCCUUCACUCUGUCUUCAGCCCCUCUACUAAAAGAAAGAUCAAAAGAAGCUUGUCAAAAGAAUUGUGAUCUGCACUAAUCAGCUCCAUGUUUUCCCCAUGCUGAGGAUUUAAUCCAGAGCCUUGGCACGAAAGGUCAGAGCUCUCUCACUGAGCCACAUCUUACCCCCAGUCAUGAGCCUUCUUCUGAUGGACCACCAAGGGAAGUGCCCUGCCACACCUCG